CAACCAGAAUGCUCUCACCAUGACUUGGGUCAGUCUUCCUGGAAAUACAUGAAUAGCUGGAGCCUUACAGUGGGAGACUUGAAGAGCUUGAUCUGUUGAAGUUUAUCAAAAAGAAGAUUGAGGGUUUCAGGCCAGAGGCUCCAACAGUGGCCAAGUACCAGGUUUGUGGGGAACGAAAUAGAUCUUCCUGGUCUUGCAGACCAUCCUGUCUGAAUCAGGCUGAGAUGGGAAAUGCAGAGGCUCUUCAGACUGUCACACUUUGAGGAUCCAGAGGAUUGUCCUUUGGUUGCAGUUAGAAACCCCAUUGCUGAGUUUUGUGCAUGGAAAAUGAAGUCACACAAUGAAGUCACACAAAUGAGGGUCAUUCUUGUCAGUUGUCAGCUUGUGCGGAUCAAGGAGUGAGUGGUUCACAUUCUUUUCCAGGUGCAAGGCACACUCCAUUGCUGUCAGCCCAUUCUCCCAAUCAUCACGAUCUGGUUUCUUGAUGUCCUGCUGUGUGCAGUACUUCCAGCUAGAAGCCUUCAAGUACCAGAAGAGAAAUGCUCCCAGAAUCUUGACAAUGUUUUAAAAAUCAAGAGAUUUAACAUAAUCUGCCACAUUGUCGUUCAUCUACCUUCCAGUUUUCCAGCAAAUCAAUCAGUAAACCACUGGCUCUUUCCUUUGGCAUUUUUGUUUGGGGAAAUGGUAAAUUCCUGAGUGGGUACUACAUAAGAACAGCCCUACUGGGUCAGACCAAAGGUCCAUCUAGCCCAGUAUCCUGUCGUCCGACUGGCCAGUGCCAGAUGCCCCAGCAGGAAUGAACAGAACAGGUAAUCAUCAAGUGAUCCAUCCCCUGUUGCUCAUUCCCAGCUUUUGGCAAACGGAGGCUAGGGACACCAUUCCUGCCCAUCCUGGCUAAUAGCCAUUGAUGGACCUAUCCUCCAUGAAUUUAUCUAGUUCUUUUUUGAACCCUCUUAUGGUCUUGGCCUUCACAACAUCCUCUGGCAAGGAGUUCCACAGGUUGACUGUGCGUUGUGUGACAAAAUACUUCCUUUUAUUUGUUUUAAACCUGCUGCCUAUUAAUUUCAUUUUGUGACCCCUAGUUCUUAUGUUAUGAGAAGUAGUAAACAACACUUCCUUAUCUACUUUGUCUACACCAGUCAUGAUUUUAUAGACUUCAAUCAUAUCUCCCUUUAGCUGUCUCUUUUCCAAGCUGAAAAGUCCCAGUCUUAUGAAUCUCUUCUCAUACGGAAGCCAUUCCAUACCCCUACACUGUCUGAGUUCACAGGGGACUGGGCAUGAAAAGUUUAAAAGUGACAAGGAGGGCAAUUUGAAGCCCAUGCUGGCCUCCUGGUCCCCUGGCUUAGUCUGGCCAAGUGGAUCACAAAGGGAGAAAAAGGAAACGGUCUACAGGCGGAUGUUGACAAUCACAUCUCCCAGGCGCCACAUGGUGUGUGGAUGCCAGGACUGGUGGAUGGUGUGUAAAGCGCAACUUCUCUAGAUGUCCAGAGACCACUACAUCUCCUGGGUGCUGUAGGGUGUAUGGAGGCCAGGAUUUGUGUACCCUGUCCCAUGAAAUAUGGGGACUUCAACUAAUGCCAAAGUCUCCACGUGGGGCAGUUGGAAGUUCCAUGCCAACCUCCUAGUCUGGCCCAGCAGUUGGGAAAAAAAUUGUAUUCACUUGUAAACUGCAAAUUUCCUAUAGAAAUGAUUGAAAUAUGCAACCCUUUGAUGCCAUUUUUACUUUGUCACUUUUGAGAGUGUAGCCACAGUUUUAAAAAGUGUUGUCCAGGGGUGGCCACUAGACUUGGACACAGGAGACCUGGAUUCUAUCCCUUGAUCUCCCUCUGACCUGUUGGAUGACAUCUGGCAACUCACUUCACCGUGAAGUUUAAUGUGAAGUAGUGUUAUUUUAAUUUCAGUUAAAUCCAGAGAUUUCUUGCCAUUCCCGUCUUUUCCUAGAAUAAUGAAUUUCCACUUGGCCAGGAACCUAAUCAAUAGCCACAGCCUCAUAGCAAUGUUUGCAUUGGGGUAUUAUAGCCCUGCCCAUGUUAAAAAUAUCUUUCUUCCAGCUUGAAAAAAUUAUUCUCCUAAAUAAAUGUUGAUUUUUGUAAUAUACAGUCCCAGGCCUGACAAUUUUGCCUAUUUUUCAGGGAGUGUCUGUCUUUUGCAGGAAUUAAAUGCUAUUCACCCCACAAGGCAGGAAAUUUCUUGUAGGGUAAGGCAGGAUUUUAGGACUGUAUCUGUAUGAAACUAUUUUGAUUUGUAUCAACGCUAAAGAACAAUAGUUUUGGUUUUGGGGAGCUUCCCAAUCUAUUGACACUUCCCUCCUAGGACUGCUGAUCUGAAAGGCAUAAUCAUCCACAGGUUGUGCUCCUUGGAAAUAUUUCCUAUCAGUUAGGGGAUUUGUGAAGUGAAGUAAGAAGAAAAAUAACCACAAGGUACAGUAAGAUCUCACUGAUUCACUCUGAUGACCAGAAGGUUCAUUGUGCAUCACUGAAUUUUUGCAGCUUAGUAAGUAAAGACUCAGUCUGACACCCAUUGAAAUCAAGUAUGAUAAUAGUUCAUAAAUGAUAAAUGUUUUGUAGUACAGGCCUGCUCCAUCUCCAGCUGAAGACAAUAGGAGAUUUGCUAUUAAAUUCAAAGGGUAGUAAGAUUGAGCCUAUAUUUUGCUACACUCAUACAAUAAUAUGAGACCUCUCUGCAUCAGUAUUAAAUAUCAUUGCUGUACUAUUAAAUCUUUACUUAAAAGUGUGGCUAAGGAGUCAUUUUUGUUUGUGAAUGCUGAGUUUCUAUUGUCCUGCAGCUAACACUUAUUUUUGUAUUUUUUUUAUAUAGACUGGCUCCUCUUAUACAUAUUUUUACUAUUCAAGCAGUUCUACCUGAGAAGAACUAGAAACGCUUCUGUGUCUGUUAUAUGUGAAUUUGAAAUAUAAAAUACAAGAACGUAGUGGCCUUGUUAAAGAAAUACAUUUAAAAUUUCACAGGCCAGAUUUCACAGCACCUGAUGCUUAAACACGAAGGCUAGGUUUUUCAAAAGAUCCUAAGUGACUAAGGUCAAUAGGACGUGAGCUUCUAAGACAUGUUUAGGUGUUUGAAAAUGUCACCCUAAGUCUAGUAAUAAUUAUGUUUGAAAUGUAUAGCAGGGCUAUUCAGCCAAGCUUUGAUUCCAGGAAAUACAGUUAAAUCAAAAUCCAGAAGAGGGAGCCCUCUAUCAAAAUAAGAUAAUAAACUGAAUUAUUACCAAAAUUCACAGAAGUUUCCACUUUCUUUUCCACCCACUUGUAAACCCCUCUGGAUUAUUUAACCUAUCUGACUAUACUUAAAAGACUAGCAGCUCACAAUUUCUAUCUUUAAACAAUAUUAUUCAAUAUCUGAGAAGCAUGCUUGUGAUUUUUAUCUGUGGCUGGGCAUAUCAGAUGUGGAACCUGGUCCACAUAAAAGAAGUUGUUUCCGUUAUCCCCAAAAGCGAAACAGUUGUGUGACCUGUAUUCAGAUUAGUUAGGGAGGAGGUUUCCAUUCCAUUCCAUUCCGAAAGCAGCAUGGAAACCUUGGGCCCAAUCCUGCUCCCAUUGAAGUCAGUGGAACGUUGCCAUUGUUUUCAGUAGGAGAAGAAACAGGCCCUUUGUUAUAACAGAUGAUGUUUAUGCAGGAAUCUCCUUACACCCACUUAAAGUGUUUCAGCUCCCACAAUUUGUAUCAGAAUGAAAAGGUUAUUUUGCCGCAGGUAUGUGGGGUGUUAUUUUUUAUGUGUACUGCACUCUCUGUUUAACCAUUUCAGUACCACCACCCCCAUACAUUCAUCCUGAGGACCCUACUGUCUGAAUGAAGCUGCACUGAUUUACUCUCUAUCUGGAUUUCAGCUGGAAUCCAUUUGCAUGACUCGAGUUUACUUUAAAGAUGAUGUUCAGCAGGAAAAAAGAAAACUCAAUGGACGUCUCAGAUGUGGAUUUUCAGCUUCCUUUGCCCUUAAUCCUACCAUUUUUCUCUGUAGUCCGUAAAGUCUUCAAGUAAAAAAAAAUAGACAAACCAAAAACAGGGUAAACAAGACCUGAAUUUCUAAUGCAAAACAAAUCUAACAACCAUACAACAGGCUGGAAGAUAUCCCUUUCAGGCAGUGCUUAAUUUGUAAUGAAAGAGAUGCUGGGGCUCAAGCAAUUAGGUGCUUUCGUAACUGAUGCGGCAAGCCCAGAGAUACCGGAGCUCUGAACUGCCAAGCUGAGUGGAGCUGGGGCUCAGUCCUGGCACAAAUUAAGUGUGCAUUCAGGCUUCUUUUAUAAACAUCUAGUUAGAAAUGAAGGCCGCUCCAGGAUUCACAAGGGAGUAUAAGCUUCCCAGAAUCAGCCACUUAAAGGCAUGAUUUUGCCCCUGAGGUAAAUCCAUCUUGCCUGCCUCUCUGGGCUUGUCUUCACUGCUAAAAAUUGUGUCAUUUUUUUUUACCUCAGGAUAAACAACCUGCACCCCCUCCAGGGGAUGACCUUAGCGAGUUUACCUCACAAUAAAACUGAAAUGCCUGGUCUUCAUUGUGUUUUUACCUCAGGAUAGCUCGUUUGUGUUAGUUACCCUGAGGUAAACAUGCACAGUAUUUUUGCAUGAACACAAAGCCUCUGUGCUGACCGGAGCACUAAGUGCAGCAGAAGCAGGACACUUACACUGUGCUCUAGAGGGCAAAAUCUCAGCACCCAAGAAUAGGGAUUUUGUACUGCCAUAGAGCUGGGCAGGGGCAAAGGAAUGGCGAGUGGAUCCAGGACUAUGCAGAUCCACUUGCCAAGCCCCCGACUACUGGAAUUAAUGUCCCUGGGUCAACUCUGCUACUGUUCUUUAGCUUGUGGUGGAAGGGAGGUUUCCAUUCCCCAUAUGCCCCUCCUUCUCCUCCACCCCGCAGUUCAUACCACUCAGCACACUUACCAGGGCUGUGUCCUGAGACUAUGAUUUGUCCCUUGAUGUCUAUUUGAAUUAAUGCAGAUCCACAUUGAAUAAGCACUGUAGGCACGACUUUACAAGGGAAAUUUAUUGAUACGGUACAUAUUAUAUGGAAAAAUCUAAAUACAAAAGAAGGAAUGAGUCAAAAAGUUUUAAAUUGGACCCUAGCAAGUUAAGUUUGCAAUAUACUUUCCAUCAACUUAUUCAGUAUCCUGUACUUUACUCUGCUGUAAAGUGGUUAAUACUAGUUUCCAAUAUUCUAACCUUAUAUAGUAAGUGCUUAUACAUGUAGCAAAGAGAAUGAGAGGAGCCACUAAAAUAAACAUAUCUACAGUAUUGUAUAUAUGAAGAUUUCAUUGUGCUUUUAAAUAUGUGUGUUUCUGAUUGCUGUGCUAUGUCCGAUAAGCAUUUUACUGAGGAAAAAAACCCUAAUAGUAUACUUGGAAGGAUGCAGAAGUUGUUGCUAAUUGGAUCAAUAAAGGCUGGCCUUCCAAAUUGAGCUAUGAAAGGGAAGGAACUGGUGGAACCUCCCAUCUUGUCCGACUGCCAGAAUGUGAGAUUAGGCAGGCAAAUUCUCUUCCUCAGGUCCAAGCCUUGAAGGGUGAGAUCACCCUAGCAAAUUAACCCUUGCUGGAAGGUGUGAGUGGAUUGGUAAAUUAGAUAGCUUUGCACUUCUAGAAGAAGGGCUUGAAUAGGACCCCAAAGCAAUGCACCUUUUGUUUACAUUGCUUAUGCUUAAACUAGGCGCAAGGGGAAAAUAAUGGAUGAUCUAAUGGUUUACAAACUAUGCUUUCCAUUCCAAGCUGAAGAAACUUUAUAAAAAAGGCAACACACUCUGUUUUCACACUGACAUUUGGUAUUUUAAUAAAAUACAGCCUAAUUUUUUUUUUAAAAAAAAGAUAUAAAUCAAAUCAAUGCUAUAACAGAGCUCAUGGGAUCACUGUAUAAUGCCCUUAAAAUAACCCAGUAAUAAAUGAAAAAGCCUCCUACUGCCCAAAGACAACCAGUUAACUUCCUUAUAUAAAGCUGUAGGUCUUUUAUUAGGCUACAAAACCAUUUCAAACAAAUGAAAACCAAAUGUGCAAAAAAUGUGAGGGGUGUGCGUGUGCGCCAAUCCCUUGUACUAAAAUAGUAUGAGCCCCUGGGCUCUUUAAACUAAGAUCUGCCUCAAUCACUCCCACUGGCGGGCUUGUACUUUCACGAGUGAAUACAGGGCGCAUCUUUUUAGAAACAUGCUGCAUCCUUGUGUUAGUUAGAGGAUUUAUACAUACAGUAACUGUAUGGGAGAGAUUAAGAAACUGUUCUGUAUGGAACUAUUCAAAGUAAAGAACCCUGAGAUACGCAAAGCAUGAUGCAACUCAGAUUGGCACAUGUUGUUCUCCAGCCCAAAAUAGUUGCUAUUGUAGAAACAGUUUUUUUAAAUAUUCACGUGCAAAAGCUUUCAACUUGUACUAAAUCAAUGCCCCAUCUGGUACUAUUGUGCAUUCUUGUACUAAAUAGACAUGGGGCCAAAAGAAGCCCUGGUGUAAAUGAUCCUAUUGCCAUGAAUUGCAUCUGCUUACAACAGGGCUGAAUUUUGCCCACAAACUGCAACUGGUUGCUCUGUGAAUGUAAAUAUAUAUAUUAUCCUUCUAUGAACAUACACUUAGCUUAUGUCUGGUGUAGGAUUCUGCUUUUCAGUGAUUGCUUGCAAAUUGGAGAACAGUUUUAAUGUUUUAUUAAUAAGAGAGCUUAGUUUCUUUAUAUUACACCUCUAGGCCCUGCUUCAGCUACCCUUACUUAUGUAAGCAGUAACACUGACCUAAGUGGAACUAUUCCAUGAUUAACAGCAGUAGGAUUGGGGCCUUAGGCCUUUAGGAAUUCUUUUCUGGAUGGAAAUAAGAUAAUAACUCCUUGGCAAGGAUUCAAGCCAGGCUGCUGUAGCCAAGAGAGUGCAACAAUUGGAACAGCAAUUAGAUAUGUUAUUAUGUGUGACAAGCCUUAAUGGGCCAAAUAUGGGCUUCACUCACUAAGAACCCUGUCUUAUGAACACCCUAAUUGGGCCCCAUUCUAUCCAGCUCCUAUUUAACUCAAUGGCUAAACUCUCUUGGAUGUCUAUCUAUCUAUGCAAGCUUUCAUGUUAUGCUCUCACUGGAGUAGCUGAGGCCCGGAUCCACAAACCCACACUUAGGCACCUAAACCUCAUACUUACGCACCUAAAUUCUGAUUUUGACUGCACUGUGAUCCACAAAAACUCCCGCUGAACCCUGUAGGCACCUAGGCUCACUUGGUGUUUAAGUUUUCAGGGUAACCAUUCCCUCAGCACCUAUAUUUUUGCCUCUGAGCAUGUGUACUGCUGCCUCAUUCUAGGUGUCCAGACACCUAUCUCCUGCCUAAGCCCCAGAGCUAUUAAAAACUAGGGGAAGACAGGCAUUCAAAAGCCUAUGUCAUGUGCGGGGGCUCUUUCCAGUAGGUGAGCUCAGACGUUGCCUACUGGAUUGGGUCCCAUUUGAAAUCACAGAGAUGUGGGAAACCCAGGUUCAAGUCCACCCUCUGCUAGAGGGGGAGAAGGCAUUUGAACAGGGGGGCUCUCAUCGCUCAAGAAAGUGGUCCAAAAACUGGGCUAAAAGUUACAACUUGGGCUCCUCCUACUCUGUGAUUUUGAAUGGGACCUGAUUCAGUAGGCAGCCUCUGAGCACAUCCGCUGGAUCAGGCCCCGUACAUGACUUAGGUGGUCAAAUGCAUGUCUUCCCCUGGUUCUUGAAUCAAACUUAAAAGUUGCAAUACCUUAGUCCCAUCAUGGAUCCCACCUUGAGGUCUAUGGUAGUAGGACAGAGACACAUUAAUUUGCCUCAUUCAGGGCUUGAUUUUGCACCACUGAAGCCCAUGGGAGUUUGGUCAGUGACUUCAGUGUGAACGAUCCCUGAAUGUGCACUUUGCAUGGGACAGGCCAUCCUACUGGUGCCUACAGUCAAAUAGUUACAGAUUUUCUUUAAAAUCCCAUUGGAAAUUCUGUAGGAGCCCUGCCUCAUUCACUAUGGAUAUUGCAAGGUGUAUGAUGAUUAAAGUAGGUCUGCAAAAACCCUUCCCUUGUUUACUGUGUAUAUAAAUGAGUUUACUGGUUUCUCUUUGGAUUUGCAGACUACUACCCAGUAGCAGAAGAUAUUACAUGUGUGUCUAGGGUGGUAUAAAAAAUAUAAAAUUAAGUCAAUGGGUAAACUAAAUAUUGCAUUUGAGAAAUAGUAUGUGAUCAUGCAAUUAAAGUCUACACCAUAAUGCAUAUGCAUAAAGGGGUGCAGUUAUAUUUUGACACCCAAACGUAACUUGAGCAUUUUCUGACUUUUGAGUAUUUAACUGUGCUUCCCUUAAUGCAG